GGGGAUAUAGCUCAGUUGGUGGAGUGCUUUGCCUCCCAUGCACAAGGCUAUGGGUUCAAUCCCCAGCACCACCA
rnacentral:tRNA from 1 species